CCUACGGGUGACAGCAGUGGGGGAUAUUGCACAAUGGGGGGAACCCUGAUGCAGCGACGCCGCGUGGGUGAAGGAGCGUUUCGGCGCGUAAAGCCCUAUCGGCAAGGAAGAAGAUGACGGUACCUGGCCAAGAAGCCCCGGCCAACUACGGGCCAGCAGCCGCGGUUAUACGUCGGGGGCCAGCGUUAUCCGGAUUUACUGGGUGUAAAGGGGGCGCAGACGGCAAUGCAAGCCAGGAGUGAAAGCCCGGGGCCCAACCCCGGGACUGCUCUUGGAACUGCAUGGCUGGAGUACAGGAGGGGCAGGCGGAAUUCCUAGUGUAGCGGUGAAAUGCGUAGAUAUUAGGAGGAACACCGGUGGCGAAGGCGGCCUGCUGGACUGUGACUGACGUUGAGGCCCGAAGGCGUGGGGAGCAAACAGGAUUAGAUACCCUUGUAGUC
rnacentral:rRNA from 1 species